GACGAACGUUGGCGGCGUGCUUAAUACAUGCAAGUCAACUGAAGCAGUGGUAGCAAUAUCGCUGUGGAGGUGGCGCACGGGUGAGUAACACGUAGGUAAUCUGCCUUCAGGUCUGGCAUAACUCCGGGAAACCGGGGCUAAUAGCAGAUGAUGCAGCGGCUCGACGUCGAGACAGUUGUUAAAGCUAUGGCGCCUGAAGAUGAGCCUGCGUCUGAUUAGCUAGUUGGCGGGGUAACGGCCCACCAAGGCAACGAUCAGUAGCUGGUCUGGUAGGAUGAUCGGCCACACUGGAACUGAGACACGGACCAGACUCCGGCGGGAGGCAGCAGUAAGGAAAAUUGCGCAAUGGGAGAAAUCCUGAAGCAGCAACGCCGCGUGAGGGACGAAGGGCUUUUGCUUGUAAACCGCUGUAGUGAGAGAAAAAAAUCCCAAUCAUUGGGACAUGAUGGUAUCUCAAAAGUAAGCCCCGGCUAACUACGUG
rnacentral:rRNA from 1 species